AAAUGUCGGGAGGCAGCAGUAGGAAAUCUUCCACAAUGGGCGAAAGCCUGAUGGAGCAACGCCGCGUGGGUGAAGAAGGUCUUCGGAUCGUAAAACCCUGUUGUUAGAGAAGAAAGUGCGUGAGAGUAACUGUUCACGUUUCGACGGUAUCUAACCAGAAAGCCACGGCUAACUACGUGCCAGCAGCCGCGGUAAUACGUAGGUGGCGAGCGUUAUCCGGAUUUAUUGGGCGUAAAGGGAACGCAGGCGGUCUUUUAAGUCUGAUGUGAAAGCCUUCGGCUUAACCGGAGUAGUGCAUUGGCAAC
rnacentral:rRNA from 1 species